rnacentral:misc_RNA from 1 species
CUCCCUUCUGUUUCUCGAGCCAAGGUGACUCCUUUUAUCUCUUCUUCUGUUCUUUGAUAUUUCUUCCUUUGAUCAUAUUUAUUUUGUAGAUCAAACCCACAAAUGCAGGCAUCUAUCUGUAUAGGCAUCUAUAGUGUUUGUGAUGUUGUUACGGAAUGAUCGUCGACUUUUUUAUCUGUUUUUGAGAGGGAUUUAAAUUUUUUUUGAAUUGUCUGAAAGCCUUGGUUGGCGGUUAUAAUUCUAAUUGCUGUUGGUUUCCAAUUAAUUUAAGGGUGUUAAUUUCUUUUCAAUUAUUGGUUUCCCAUUAAAACUCCAGUCCCCAAUCUUUAAGCUUCUCUAAUUAUGGUGUACUUUGUGUCAAGAUCUUUUUGCUGUGAUUCUGUCUUUCUGAUUAUAGCCGUGUACUCUUCUUGUUUUUAAUGAAAUUUCUUCAUGUUUCAGAAAAAGAUCCUUUUCAUUUCGGGUUGUUCUUUUUGUAAAAAUAUAGUUCCUGAUAACUUGAUUGGAUUUAAUUUAAGUCUUGAUCGUGCUUCUAAAUGUUUAAUGGAAUACCUGUUUAUGUUGGAAUAAUUUAUUCAUCCGUGGCGCAGUUGUACCAGUAGUGUCCGUAAUAAUCUUCAUUUAUAGCAUCCAAUUCUCCAGAUGCAUUGGUUGUUCUGCUGAAAAUAAUAGCACUGCGCCUUCGUGCCUUUUCUGAGAUGAAUUGAGAAUCUGUUCUAUUGAAUGAUAUGAGUAGCAGCUAUAUAUAGGUGCAAGUACGGAAGCUAUAUGUAACUCUCUUAAUUUUUUUUUUUUUUUAUUAGACUGGAGUGAUUGAUUGGAAGGUUUUUAUGUUUAUGCUAGGAAAUGUUCUGUGUCAGAUCAAAUGCUUAUUAGGACAUCAAAUUCUGUCUGCAGUUGUUAUUAAUUCAAUUAUUGUUUAGCAUCAUUACAAGUCCAUAACAUGUAAAUGAAAAGGACAACUAGUCUAGUAAGAAUCAUAUGAAUUUGGAAACUAGGUGCAGUUCUUCCUGGGUUUGUUGUAUUUGGAUUGUUUCGUGAUCCUUCUGUUGUUGAGUGUUUAAUCUUACACAUUCCAUUGUGAAUAAGUACUUACUAAGUUCUUUACCUAAGUGAAGAGCAUCAAGUCAAACAGCAUG